rnacentral:rRNA from 1 species
GAGUUUGAUCCUGGCUCAGGAUGAACGCUAGCGGCAGGCCUAACACAUGCAAGUCGAGGGGUAACAGGAGAGCUUGCUUUUGCUGACGACCGGCGCACGGGUGCGUAACGCGUAUGCAACCUACCUCAUACUGGAGCAUAGCCCUUGGAAACGAGGAUUAAUACUCCAUGGUAUCAUGAAUUCGCAUGUUUUUAUGAUUAAAGAAUUUCGGUAUGAGAUGGGCAUGCGUCCCAUUAGCUAGUUGGUGAGGUAACGGCUCACCAAGGCGACGAUGGGUAGGGGGCCUGAGAGGGUGGUCCCCCACACUGGUACUGAGACACGGACCAGACUCCUACGGGAGGCAGCAGUGAGGAAUAUUGGUCAAUGGAGGCAACUCUGAACCAGCCAUGCUGCGUGAAGGAUGACGGCCCUAUGGGUUGUAAACUUCUUUUAUAUGGGAAGAAACUUAUCUACGUGUAGAUAACUGACGGUACCAUACGAAUAAGGAUCGGCUAACUCCGUGCCAGCAGCCGCGGUAAUACGGAGGAUCCAAGCGUUAUCCGGAUUCAUUGGGUUUAAAGGGUCCGUAGGCGGAUU